UCUGCUGACCCCAAGUGAUACUGUGUUUCUGAAAUCCCUGAAUCACAGUGACUUCAGUGAGAAAAGUUUAUUUCUCUCAAACAAAUGCAGCCCUGAGAUAAAACCUCGAGGGCUGGUGGAGAGGCUUCACAGCCGUCAGGAGCCAGGCUCCUUCCAACUUCUUGUUCCUCUCACGGUCCAACAGAGCUGCCAGUGCUCCGGUUAUCAUGCUUGCGUUCCAGAAGGGGGAAGGGGAUGCUGAAGCGCGCACCCACCUGCUGCUCCCGCUCACGUGCCGAACUCCAGAGAAUGUCCACACCUCACUGCCCGGUGAACUGGGAAACAGGCCUGGAUUCUGUGUGGCCACGCCUCAGCUAAACAUCAGGGGCCUCACGGCAAGAAGCACAGACCUGCCACCAGUCUGUCCCCAUCGUACCACGAGAGGACACUGGUCCGCAUGGUGUCGCAGCAUGGAAGCAGCAGAACAGAUCCCCUGGGCUCUGGGGUCCGGGGUCUGGCUGCUCCCCGAGGCUGGAAACAGUGCCUGGCGCCUGAGUGUGAUGGAGCAGAUGACCUGGUAAAGGGGGGGGGGUGGAGGGAGGGCUGUCCUGCUCCUGGGCCCCACCGCUCUCCAGCAAGAGCUGCUGGGGACAGUGCCACCCCUCCCUCUGCAGGCAGCCCCUGGUGGGGAGCCUUUGUCCCAAAAUAAAAGGGUGUGGGGACCGGAAGUGUGGCUCCCU
rnacentral:lncRNA from 1 species